UUAUCUUUCUCUCUCUCUCUCCUCAUCUGCACUUCAAUCUAUUCGCAUGGAUCUCCGGAGUGCAUGGGAUGCAAUUAUGUUAUUUUAUUUCAUCAAUAUUUUUUCGGUCAAUCUUUUCUGUUCUUUAUUUUUUAACACACAACUAUUUGAUCAACCUUUGGUUAAACCAAAUCUCAAACACUGACAUUAUUACCAAAUCAAUGAAAUCAUUAAUUUUGCAAUAUAAUGGUUAGAUGGAGGAAUUAUGAAGAUGUUGAUAUACGAUCCAAGUUCUGUAUUCUGACAUUGGCGAACAAAAUUAAGGAGUUGGAAACUGAUGAUGAAAGUUAUAUUAAAAGAAAUAACAAAUGGGUGAUGAUGAAGAAGAAGAAGAACACCAAAUGUUGUAACAACUAGAAGCUAAUCUUCGUGUUGUUUGUUGUGAUUUUUUUCUAUUUUUUAAGCAUUACAAAGAAAAUAUUAUUAAGAAUGGAAAAUUUUUAUGUA